UACGUAGGGUGCAAGCGUUAAUCGGAAUUACUGGGCGUAAAGCGUGCGCAGGCGGUUUUGUAAGUCUGAUGUGAAAUCCCCGGGCUCAACCUGGGAAUUGCAUUGGAGACUGCAAGGCUAGAAUCUGGCAGAGGGGGGUAGAAUUCCACGUGUAGCAGUGAAAUGCGUAGAGAUGUGGAGGAACACCGAUGGCGAAGGCAGCCCCCUGGGUCAAGAUUGACGCUCAUGCACGAAAGCGUGGGGAGCAAUCAGG
rnacentral:rRNA from 1 species